rnacentral:rRNA from 1 species
GUGUCAGCCGCCGCGGUAAUACCAGCUCUCCGAGUGGUGUGGAUGUUUAUUGGGCCUAAAGCAUCCGUAGCUUGCUGAACAAGUCCCCUGUUAAACCCAACGAAUCAAUCGUUGGAUUGCGGGGGAUACUGUUCGGCUAGGGGACGAGAGAGGCCGACGGUAUUUUCGGGGUAGGGGUGAAAUCCUAUAAUCCCGAGAGGACCACCAGUGGCGAAGGCUGUCGGCUAGAACGCGCCCAACGGUGAGGGAUGAAAGCUGGGGGAGCGAACCGGAUUAGAUACCCGGGUAGUCCCAGCUGUAAACGAUGCAGGCUAGGUGUUUGAGCGGCCACGCGCCGCUCUAGUGCCGCAGGGAAGCUGUUAAGCCUGCCGCCUGGGGAGUACGGCCGCAAGGCUGAAACUUAAAUGAAUUGGCGGGG